UCACUUUAUAUACUCAAAUCGUUCUGUUAAGCAGAUGUCAGACGUCAGAAAAUUAAAGCAUAUGAAAUCAUUGCUUAGCAUGCGCAAUCUAAAAGCCGCCAAGUGUGCGGAAACCGGUGAUGUUUAAGUAAAAAGUAAGAAUGAAAUUCAAUUUCAAUGGUAGACAGGCAAAAUGAAGAGAAAAGAAGCAAGACGUGUACACAAUGGCAGACGAGCAAAAGUGAUUUGAGGCAUUUAGAUGGAGAGUCCAUUUUGCGAUUCGGGUCUAGUUCUUAUCGGUCAUGGAAACGCACAUAGACGUCUGAAUUGCGGUGGCGGUUGACAGUGAAAAGCCGAAACAACGAAAUAUCGAAUCUAACUAAACCGAAUUGAAGCUGAAAAACUAAGCCAGAGUCCUAACAAAACCAAAAACAAAAAAGCCCAAUUCUUCCAAAUGAGCAAACCCCAAAGAGCGAGCAGCUGAAACAUAAAAAGGCAAAAACGCUUCUUGGUCCAGCUGGCGGCUUUACAUUUGGGCCAGCCGACGCGUCGUGGCAGUCGGCUUUAAAAUGGCCAACAGAAACUGUGCAUCCCAACUUAGCCUAAAUACAUAGUAAAAGACUAAAGUUCACUUCGUUAAACAAAGACGCUAGCCAGAGAAGGAUAGCCAAAAGCCCAAACCCAAAACCCCCAAAAAAUAAUAAUGAAUACAAAAAAAAA